rfam:Gossypium arboreum cultivar AKA8401 contig_6628_3, whole genome shotgun sequence.
AACCUAUGGUGAGGGCACAUUCUUAAUAGAUCCUUGUAUCUCUCCCAUGCACCAUAGAGUGUUUCUAGAUCCAUCUGCACAUAAGAAGAGAUAUCAUUCCUUAACUU